rnacentral:lncRNA from 1 species
AAGACACUCCCUUUUAGGUCCUUGUUCCUGAUCUUAGGGGAAGGCGAUAACUGCCCACCGAAGAGCCAUGACCUCCUGGAAAGUUCUCUGACAGCCCACUGUCCUUUCUCAGCAGUCCUGGGAGGCCACAUGGAAACCUCAGUCUCUUCUGGGGAAAAUGAAUCUCAGAGAGAAGGAAGGACUGGCUGAUAUGUCUGAACCCGAGUUGUGUCUCCAGAGGUGCUGCAGAGGGACGAGGGCCUCCUGCACACCACGGCGCCUGCUGCACUUCAGGAGCUGUGAACGUCGCAGCCACCAGCAGCAGCUUCCCCAGAAGGUGCACAAACCUUCCGUGUUCCUUCUCCUAUUGGUGCAGAGAGGUGAAAUGCACAUGGGCGCACUCGUACCCAAGGGUCCCUGGGGCGCCGGCCUGCCCGCAGGCCUGAGAUAACCUAGCUGGACUACUAAACUGGAGAGAAUUACCUGACGUAAGGUCCAGGCAGAGCCUUCACUUUUUGGCCCACACCUGUCCCCCUCCAGCCAGAGCGGGUGUCUGGGGCUCGUGGUCCCCAUGCAGCCAUGAGUGACAGACGUUUCCUUAGGUCUCAAAUCUGACCAAGCAGCUGUUGAACUUCCCUGGCCUGGCAUCUCCUGCCCUCUCCUGAAGGUGUCUGCUUCCUCCAGGACAGGAGGUGCCUCGGGGCUACCACUACUGCUCUGCUGGAUGACGCCAGAGAUCUGGGGUAGGUUUGCUUCAUGGAGCUCAAAGCCAGAGGCUCUUCCUAGCAGGAGCUGAGGUCCAGAUUUGUUCCUGGUCUGUGGGGGGAAUGAGGACAAGGGACAGAGGCUAUUUCUGUGGUUGUGCCGUCUUCGAGCCUGCAGUCGCAGUUGAGCAUCUGCUGUCUUGGAUUCUGCAGCAGUAGAAAAGGAAGGGGCUAUUGAUCCGGAAGGCCCAACUUCAGAGAAGCCUUGGUGGGUGUUGGAAGUGCCCCAAAAGGAAGGCUGCUGCCUGCUGUGCCCACACCGGGGCAGGGAUGUUGUGCACAGAUCGGGGCAGAAGAGCCUGUGAACACAGGGUUGCUCUCAGGCACGCUGCCCACACUGAAGGGAAAGGGGACGCUUGGGCUGGGUGUGCCCAGGCUGGUCCGACUCAACGUUCCCCGCAGGGGCAGGGCCACAUUUGCUCCCGAUCGAUCUGUCCAGCUCCAAAGCUGGGUGCUCCAGAGAUGGAGCAGGUGCCUAGGU